GGGGCAGCCUCCCUGGAGUCGCUUUUCCUUGCUGUCUAUCUCUUUCUCCUUCCAAUGUUUCACUUCAUACCUCAUCGUACGAAGUUCUUCAGCCUCUUCAAUAGUCAAAUUGUUGCUGCAGCCAGUAAACGCUAGCAUGUCUUUCUCGUAUCUUAAAUGGAGAGCGAUAAAUGGUUCACCAUUAUCUCUAAGUCUAUCAACCAACUUCUUUCCAAACUCCUCUAUCUCAUUCGUAUAACGCAGAGCCUGAUAAUUAGCUCUACAGCGAAGCUUUUGAAUGGACGAUGCUAAGCCAUUGUUAGCAAGCCUUGAAUC
rnacentral:misc_RNA from 1 species